rfam:Picea glauca, whole genome shotgun sequence.
UCAUAUGUACCUGUCUAUAGUGUUAAUUCACUAUAUCCCAUUAGAACUAUGUAUUUAAGCAUGCUUGGGCUAGGGUAGUAUUGGGAUGGGUGACCUCCUGGUAAUUCAUGAUCUUUUACAUGCC